rnacentral:lncRNA from 13 species
AUGCUCUUGAAGGAAUCAGUAAAGACUAUAGGCUGUGAGAAAGGGAACCCGAGGCCACGUUCAUGCCUAUCUCCAGGUUUUACCUGCUGUUCCUAUUUUGCCUCUGUGUUCCCUGGACACCACCAUUCCAGUGCAAGAUUUCCGGGGUUGAAUUCAUUUUCAGCAAAAGUUCUCAGAAGUGCUCUGACUGGCAUGGGACCAAGAGGCCACAUGCAGAUUUUAAGUUCUGUCACUGGGGUUUUGGGCAGUUGCCAUUCUGAGGAGGAGCUGAAGAGCACUGCUCUGCCAAAGAAAAAGAAGCUGGGAGAUGAAUCACUGAGUGGUUACCCAGAACAGAGAAUGUUGUCUGCAUUCAUCUAUCUUCCAUUCAAUCUCCCUUCAGAAAGACUAUUAUGGAGAAGAAGACAGAGGGGGAGGAGCAGAUGGAGGAGGAAAAGGAGAAUAAGAAUGAAGAGGAGGAGGAUGAAGAAGAAGAAGAAGGAGGAGGAGGAGGAGGAGGAGGAGGAGGAGGAGGAGGAGGAGAAGGAGAAGGAGAAGGAGAGUAGGAGAAUUCUCCUGCUUUGAAUUGAAUUCAUUUGAUUAUUGGAAAACUCAUUCUAUUUCCCUUCUUUUUCCCAUUUUGCCUCUAUGGUGCUGUGUCACAGAGGUGUGGCAUCCCCAGUAGCUCACAGGGCCAGUGAGAUGUAACUACAGCUUCACCUAUUUGAACAUGUGGUUGCAUCACUAUCCCUGAGUAGUAGAAGGUGCAUCUGAGCAUCAGCUCCUUUGCUUCCCUGUAUGGCUUGAAGCCAUAUAAUUGUGCUUGACUCAAUGUUGGGCAGAGAGACUUCCCUUUCUUUUUUAGAGUACCUUGGAGUGCUCUACAAGACCUGAGAGGCAGCGGGCACAGUCUCUGUGAAAAACAUCUUACAUGCUACAUUUUUAAAAGGUGAGACUGGGUUAGGCUCUGGAGGUUUUAUUUAUAUAAACAAGACCUUCACGUAGUGGAUUAGAGAAGUAGGCAAUUAUUCAUUCAUCCAUUCAUCCACCCAUCCAUCCAUCCAUCCACCCACCCAUCCAUCUAUCUAUCCAUCCAUAUCUAUCUAUCUAUCUAUCCAUCUGUAUGUCCACUUUAUUAAAAUAUCUUUAAGGAGUACCAACUAUAAGCCAGACUUUUAGCCAAAAACUAAGUAUUAAGAGUCACGUUUUUCAUAAGACUCCGUAAAUCAGCAUGGUGUAAUAGUGAAUUAAUUAGAACAGGCAUGCCAGAUCAUGGCUUCUUCUCCAAUCAUUUUUACAUGCUCUGUGACUUUAGGCAAGUUCCUUCUCUUCUCUGAGCCUGUCAGGUGAUCUCAAAUUUGCACUCCAGCUCCCAAAUGUGCUGAUUCUUUUCAUAUAGCUAGUCUCAGGUGGUCCAAAUAUUUUCGAAUAUGUCUACAAGUCUGUGGGUGUGAGCAAGACACACAUAAAUUGAAAGGUUGUGUCUUUAUGUUCGUGCCAGUAAAAACCGACAAGAAUUGUUCCUGUCCCAGUCAGCAUUUGAGUGCUUAUUCUUGGUAGUGAUGAAAAUAACAGAAAAAUCAUGAACACUUGCACAUAUAGGAGGAAUAUAUGAUUGUGAUUUAUAGAAUUAAACUAAAGAAUGGUUGUCCAUCUGUGAAAAGAUUUUAUAAACACCAAAUAGAAAAGCAUGUUUAGCUCCUCUGUAGAUGACAUGAAAGAGUGCUUAAUAAUGGGGAAAUAUGCUUUUUUGUAGCAUGCGUGUGCCCUUAACAAAUAUUGACCUGUCCUUUACUGUUAUAUUUCAAAACGUGAGUAAAUCAAAAUAAGAUGUGUUUUACAGAACUCUCUUGUUUUAUUAUCUGUCAUUUAAUUUUUAAUACCUAAGUGACACCUGAUAUAUUACCUAAUCAAAAGAAGAGAAUUAUACAUUGCACAUAAUCAGUUAUUUUUGCCAUAUCACCGAAAUUAGACUAACAGAUGAGGAAAAUAAAUAAGAUGAACUUUAAAAAUGAAAAUGCUUA